rnacentral:lncRNA from 1 species
GUUUUGCUGUUAGUAUCAUUCUUAGUAUGUGGAUUCAUUGUAUAAUAUGUCAACCUAUAGAAGGACCCAGUCCCAGAUCUUUUCGGACACUUUGGCCAGAGGACCGAUGAUGAUGUCCUCUUUCGUCGGCCGCUCUACUCCAACUGCCGCUCUCCCCUCCAUUUGCUUAUUCAACUUCCUCCGGAUGUUGUUCGUUUCUUCCGACUGUGUGAUAUUAAACAACGCAACAUUCUCACGGAAGAUCACCGAUUUCCCUGAGUAUCAUUAUACCGUCGCGAUUACAUAUUUAAUAUAAAUUUUCUGGUUAUACAAUACGAAGAUAUAUAUAUAUAUAAGUACACAUACAAGAAAAACAUAUUAUAUAAGUGAUAUUAUAAGUGAAAGUGAUUAUAAUGGAUGUUGACAGUCUCGGUCUUGACAUAAACAACAAAUGUCUAAUGACCUCCCCGACCAACGGCAUGAACUUUAUUCACAGCAAUAGAUGGAGGAGGCUUCUGAAAAUAUCACGCGCUUAAGGGCCGGUUUACGCUGGAGCGAGUGCGCGAGAGACGCGUGUCUGCGAUGUCCC